UUAUGCGGCCUGCUGACACCUACAGCAGACAUGCCUAUAGUCCCGCAUUAUGCGGAAACGGCCCGCAAAAUCAUCAAAAAAGCUCACAUGUUCCGCCGUUCCGCAUUCACGAUUUUUUGUUCCGCCAAGUCUGAAUUCCGACACUAAAAAAAAAUUGCCAUUUUAUCAUUAUUUAUUAAUAGUGCGAAUUGAAAAUACUGAGUGCAAAAUAAAAUAUAUAUAGGUCUGUGUUUAUUGUUUACAUUUCAUCUACUUCCGGACCCGGUGUGUCCUAAAUUUACGAAGAAAUGGUUGAAGACUAGAUCUACAUCUAGUUCUAGACAUAGAUCUCUAGAUCUACUGAUCUAGUAGUCUAGGUCUAGAUAUUAGAAUUAGAUCUAUUCUUAGAAUCUAUGAGAAUAUGGUAUAUGUGGUCUUUUUUGUGUUGAUGGACAUGCCCCAGUCUUUGGACCAAUUAUUGAGUUUAUCAAGAGCAUCUUGUAAUCGAAGUUUCGAUGUUCCUACAUAUUCUUCUGUGCUAAUUAUGGCAAGGUCAUCUGCAUACAUGCUGCUUUUAACUUUUCUAGCCUCCAAGAAUGAAAUCAGCUCAGCCUUGAGUUGGACGACACCCUUUAACACUUUUCCCCUGGAGAGCCAACGAACGUUGGUGUGAUACAGGAGACAUUAGUAGUCUGAAUCCAUUGCUUCACAAAGCUCUGAGGAAAGUCAGAAUGCAAGCGGUCGAGAUUUGAGGAAGUUUACAACUUCAAUCACUUGAUCCAGAACAGACAUCAAAUAUUUGAAGGCAAGAGCUUCUCUGUGGAUCAUGCAGUGAACAACUAAUACAUUUGGAUUUUCUUGACGCACAAGAGUGAAGAAUCCCUUUCUAUUUCCCUGCAUGGAAGGACAGCCAUCGGUGCAAACGCUGACACAGUUUGUCUCCACUGUACUUUGAAUAGCAAAAUGUUUUCGUUCACCACUUAAAAAUAUCUUCGCCUUUGGUCGUAGUUGGUGGCGAUUUUAUUGUUUACCAUGGAGUUGUCUACUUUUCAAAUUUUACUGACCAAGUUUUUUACAGUGACUAAUCCAUCAGCAGUUUCCGAAGCAGUAACUGAUAUCUCAAAAAAAUAUCGCUUUGCUGAAGGUGUCUAGUCACCUCAGAGGAUCAACAGGAUUUGUUCAUUGAAAGACACUUGAAGGUGUAGGCAGUUAAAGCAAAAGGACUUCUUGCAAUGUUUGUUUCAAGGACCAGACACAACAGAAUUUGACAACAUAUGUAUUGGAAGCUCAAAAUCAGAAACUGAAAUCUGCCCAUGUGGAGUGUCACCAGAGAAUGUUGACCAUCUUCUCCAAAACUGCUCUCUUUACCAAGAGGCUGUACAUGACACUGGCCCCAAAACACCCCAAUAGAAAGAAAACUAUAUGGAGAGUUCCCUGAUUUGGAAACGCUGUGAAAAUAAUCUCAUAUACUGGUCCAGUCAUCUGAAUGCUCCAAUAAAAAAAUGAGAAGGAAGAAGAAAGAAGAUUGUAUGUACCAUUUUUGUUUGUUUGAGGAUGGGGAGAAAAGUGAUCUUAGAAUUCAAACACCAAAAGGAAGCAACAUGGCUAUCGAAAAGCAGAGACCAUACAAACCUCAUUAGAUGAAGAGUUUUAUUUUGUUGGUAAAGUCCUUGGUUUUGAGCCAUCAGAGAAACAUAGAAAGCUCUGUUUUGACAAUAUAUAAAGAGUGACUUUAGCUCAACUCCUCACCAAGCUUUACAGUCUGUGACAUUUUUUUGGUAAAACUUUUAAUCAGAUUUAUGUGUGUAUACUUCAUUAUGUUAACUACAUGUAUCAAGAAUACUCAAUUCAUAAAAAGAAGCUGCUUUAAAGGAUUAAAGAUAACUUUGACCCUUUUGAGAAAACAAAUUGAAACACAAGAUUUUGAAUUAAUUUUGUAAUUCUUUUAUAUAUUUUUUUUUCUGAAAGCCACAUAACGACACAGGAAUUUAUUCAAGGUUUUGAAUGUAUGGUAUACUGUUAGGUUUAGUAUUGAGUCAUUCAGUAAAUUGUUUUUGUUUUGUGGUUUUUAUAAAUUAAUAAAUGGAAGUUUAUAUAAUG